AUCUCAGGUAGGAUCAUCUUUAUCAUUUCUCCUUUUGUAUGGCAGAUCAGAACAUGAUGAUUGGAGUUUGCAUGAAUCGUGAUUAGUGUCUCUGUGUAAUCAGAAUUUGCAACACCCUGAUUGCUCCUGACUCUUAA